rnacentral:rRNA from 1 species
UACGUAGGGGCCGAGCGUUGUCCGGAGUUAUUGGGCGUAAAGCGCACGUAGGCGGCUUGGCAAGUCGGAUGUGAAAUCCCUCGGCUCAACCAAGGAAGUGCAUCCGAAACUGCCGAGCUUGAGUACUUAAGAGGAUCGCGGAAUUCCCGGUGUAGAGGUGAAAUGCGUAGAUAUCAGGAGGAACACCGGUGGUGUAGACGGCUUUCUGGACCGUAACUGACGCUGAGACACGAAAGCGUGGGUAGCAAACAGG